rnacentral:rRNA from 1 species
ACCCGCUGAACUUAAGCAUAUCAAUAAGCGGAGGAAAAGAAACCAACAGGGAUUGCUCUAGUAACGGCGAGUGAAGCGGCAACAGCUCAAAUUUGAAAUCUGGCGUCUUUGGCGUCCGAGUUGUAAUUUGCAGAGGGCGCUUUGGCAUUGGCAGCGGUCCAAGUUCCUUGGAACAGGACGUCACAGAGGGUGAGAAUCCCGUACGUGGUCGCUAGCCUUUACCGUGUAAAGCCCCUUCGACGAGUCGAGUUGUUUGGGAAUGCAGCUCUAAAUGGGAGGUAAAUUUCUUCUAAAGCUAAAUACUGGCCAGAGACCGAUAGCGCACAAGUAGAGUGAUCGAAAGAUGAAAAGCACUUUGGAAAGAGAGUUAAAAAGCACGUGAAAUUGUUGAAAGGGAAGCGCUUGCAGCCAGACUUGCCUGUAGUUGCUCAUCCGGGUUUUUACCCGGUGCACUCUUCUAUAGGCAGGCCAGCAUCAGUUUGGGCGGUUGGAUAAAGGUCUCUGUCAUGUACCUCUCUUCGGGGAGAACUUAUAGGGGAGACGACAUGCAACCAGCCCGGACUGAGGUCCGCGCAUCUGCUAGGAUGCUGGCGUAAUGGCUGU